GAUGAACGCUGGCGGCGUGCUUAACACAUGCAAGUCGAACGUGAGAAUAGCAAUAUUUGAAAGUGGCAAACGGGUGAGUAACACGUGGGAACCUGCCCUGGAGUGGGGGAUAACGACUGGAAACGGUCGCUAAUACCGCACAGUUCUACUCUAUCGGGAGUUGAGUAGAUAAAGAUUUAUCGCUCUGGGAGGGGCCCGCGGCCGAUUAGCUAGUUGGUGAGGUAAUGGCUCACCAAGGCAAUUAUCGGUAGCUGGUCUGAGAGGACGAUCAGCCACAUGGGAACUGAGACACAGUCCCAACUCCUACGGGGGGCAGCAGUGAGGAAUAUUGGGCAAUGGGCGAAAGCCUGACCCAGCAACGCCGCGUGGAGGAUGAAGGCUUUAGGGUCGUAAACUCCUUUUGUGGGGGAAAAGUAAGGAUGGUACCCCAAGAAUAAGUCACGGCUAACUACGUG
rnacentral:rRNA from 1 species